AACGAACGCUGGCGGCAUGCCUAACACAUGCAAGUCGAACGAGAUCUUCGGGUCUAGUGGCGCACGGGUGCGUAACGCGUGGGAAUCUGCCCUUUGGUUCGGAAUAACAGUUGGAAACGACUGCUAAUACCGGAUGAUGACGAAAGUCCAAAGAUUUAUCGCCAGAGGAUGAGCCCGCGUAGGAUUAGCUAGUUGGUGUGGUAAAGGCGCACCAAGGCGACGAUCCUUAGCUGGUCUGAGAGGAUGAUCAGCCACACUGGGACUGAGACACGGCCCAGACUCCUACGGGAGGCAGCAGUGGGGAAUAUUGGACAAUGGGCGAAAGCCUGAUCCAGCAAUGCCGCGUGAGUGAUGAAGGCCUGAGGGUUGUAAAGCUCUUUUACCCGGGAUGAUAAUGACAGUACCGGGAGAAUAAGCUCCGGCUAACUCCGUGCCAGCCGCGCAGUAA
rnacentral:rRNA from 1 species